GAUGCUCAGUUACAUUUGAAUUUUGGAUAUACAUGGGAUACACUUUGAGUAUAAGUAUGCCCCUUGCAAUAUCUGGGACAUACUUAUGCUAAAAUAUUACAUGUUGUUUACCUGAAAUUCAAAUUUAACUGGGCAUUCUGUGUUUU
rnacentral:miRNA from 1 species